rnacentral:rRNA from 1 species
GAUGAACGCUGGCGGCGUGCCUAAUACAUGCAAGUCGAGCGAUGGGACUAGAAUCUUUCUUCUCUGAUGUUAUCGGCGGACGGGUGAGUCACACGUGGAUAACCUACCUAUAAGACUUGGAUAUCUUCGGGAAACCGUAGCUAAUACCGGAUAAUAUUUUGAACCGCAUGGUUCUAAAGUGAAAGACGGUCUUUCUGUCACUUAUAGAUGUAUCCGCUCUGCAUUAGCUAGUUGGUAAGGUAACGGCUUACCAAGGCAACGAUGCAUAGCCGACCUGAGAGGGUGAUAGCCCACAUGGGAACUGAGCCGGGGUCCAUACUCCUACGGGACGGCGCAGUAGGGAACCUUACGCAACGGGCGAGGGCCUGACAGAGCAACGCCGAGUGUGAUGUAGAGGUCUCCCGAUAGUGAUGCCGUGUUAUUAGGGGAGAACAUAUGUGUAAGGAACUGUGCCCAUCUUGACGGUACCUAAUCAGAAAGCCACGGCUAACUACGUG